rnacentral:lncRNA from 1 species
AGUGUCGGGUACAGGGUCGGAAGCGAGGCCAGGCCGGGCCAGGGUGGGCAGUAGCCUGUGUCCUGCAGGGGGAGCAGCGGCUCUAGGCCGUCUAGGCUUCCCAGAGAGGCUGAGUGGGCGGCUGUGGGCGGAUGCGGCCGCCAGCGACGCCCCCAGACCCGACCAAGGAGCCAGGGUGCAAAGGCACCACCCGAGGCCUGAGGAAGCGAGGCCUUCCGCUGACGCCAGAGCCAGGCGAGGGGGGAGGCUGCAGCCUGGAGGCCAGGGGGUGCGAGGAGGAGAGCAGGCAGAAGCAGAGGAUGGUGACCCAGGCUUCUGGGAGAGAAGAGACAGAAGGUGACAAGUUGGGUGAGACAUCCGCGUCCUGGAAGGUAGCAAGCAGAGGAGGGUCGGUGAACAGGGGGCCUAGAGCAGUGAAGGAGGCAGAACCCUCUCUCAUCCCAGAAGACGCACCAAAGAGAAUGGAAAAAUUACUGAGGCCCCAAGUGAUGAUCCACAGCCAGGGACUGACCUGGUAAGAAAGACAUCAAUAACCAGUUCGGAGUCUUUGCAAACAGUGGAGUGCAGUGAAUUUCAAAAUAUGGCUUUCUUACAGUCUUUGGAUAAGGAAGAAUUGGGAGAAGGUAUUAAAAGAAGAAUGCGAAUUAAAAAAUGUAAAAGUUUAG